AAUUCUCAACCUUUUCAGCUUUUACAAGUUGGAUUGGCUUGGAUGUGGAGGUUUUUGCAGGCUUCUCAGAAGUCAGCUCCUCUUAAAUGCAUUAGCAGAACCUUUGUGGACCAGCUUUGGUGUGAUAAUUAUCUACGCCAUGGUUGUGAAGCAGCUUUUAUAUGGGGUUCAGCUUCUAAUAGUCCAUUGACUUGGACAAUUUCUGACA
rnacentral:misc_RNA from 1 species